rnacentral:rRNA from 1 species
GAUGAACGCUGGCGGCGUGCCUAAUACAUGCAAGUCGAGCGAACGGACGAGAAGCUUGCUUCUCUGAUGUUAGCGGCGGACGGGAGAGUAACACGUGGAUAACCUACCUAUAAGACUGGGAUAACUUCGGGAAACCGGAGCUAAUACCGGAUAAUAUUUUGAACCGCAUGGUUCAAAAGUAAAAGACGGUCUUGCUGUCACUUAUAGAUGGAUCCGCGCUGCAUUAGCUAGUUGGUAAGGUAACGGCUUACCAAGGCAACGAUGCAUAGCCGACCUGAGAGGGUGUUCGGCCACACUGGAACUGGGACACGGUCCAGACUACUACGGUAGGCACCAGUAGGGAAUCUUCCGCAAUAGGCGAGAGCAUGACGGAGCAACGCCGCGUGAGUGAUGAAGAUCUUCGGAUCGUAAGACUCUGUUAUUAGGGAAGAACAUAUGUGUAAGUAGCUGUGCACAUCUUGACGGUACCUAGUCAGAAAGCCCCGGCUAACUACGUG